GAAUGUAUUAUAAAACCCCUGACAUAAAAUACAAGAUAGAAAAGCAGAAAGCAAAACACAACAUAACACUUUCAUGAUUCAACAAAAUUACAAACAGAGGUCUACGGCCAAAACGUCUACAAAAGACCAGUUCUUAAAAAUGAAUUGUCCUACGACCUACAAGUCGGACACGUUCUCCAAUCCUCAUGAUUUCACAUCUGCAACUCCUCAAGAUCAACCAAAGCUAUCUAGCUUCUCCGUCCACCAGGAACCUGAAAUUUUAAUCCUCAAACCGGGAUGAGACAAUGUCUCAGCAAGUUCAACCCCCUAAACCCCUAUUAGAAAGAAAAUACGCCCAAGGGUGGCCUAACCACGUCACACAAAGAAUUUACCUCGCCUCAAUUCCUUCCUGCAGGUUAGCACAAUUUGUAUCACACAAUCUUAGGUAGUAAUAAUAAUUCAAACAAUUGGAACGCCAUCACUUUCAUAUAAAUUACAAUCGCACUUAGCACACAUUCCAAUUAUUAUUCACCGCCACACAAGGGCAUAGCCUACUCGCAGUUCGGCUAUCUACUGACACAUAGCCAGGCAUCGCCUCCCUACCUUGGAGUGCGGCUUCGUCAGUACAUCGACGGCGUUCCCGAAGGAGCAUGGGCCUAGAAUCAACUGCGACGCACAUCCACCGCGUGAGCAUCCCAUAUAGGGGCAAGUCUGGCUCAACAGCCCAGGACGAUUCCUCUUAGUUAUCACACAGCCAAAGCAUACUUGGCCCCAUGACACUUUAUAUUUCACUCAAUGCUUCCACUUAAGACAGUGAUCCCGGCCAUUUUUCUUCAUAUUAAAAAUAUUCCAGAAAUUACUCACGUGUGUGAGGACAUGCUAAUUUCGAAUCAAAAAGCCAAUAUCUCACUUUUUUUCAAACCCCACUAUUUAAUAUAAUCAUUAAAAUCCAAUUUUUGCAUCAAAACUUGACACUUGGGUUUUUAUGAAUAAAAUCAUUAUUUACCACAAUCAACACUUAAUUUGCCACAUCCAUUCAUCAAAUUCAAAUUCUAAAUGCACAACAACGAUCAGCACGAAAUUCUG
rnacentral:lncRNA from 1 species